rnacentral:rRNA from 2 species
CACGGUGUGGCCGAUGACUGGGGUGAAGUCGUAACAAGGUAGCCGUAUCGGAAGGUGCGGCUGGAUCACCUCCUUU